rnacentral:rRNA from 1 species
CCUACGGGUGGCAGCAGUGGGGGAUAUUGCACAAUGGGGGAAACCCUGAUGCAGCGACGCCGCGUGUGGGAAGACGGUCCUCUGGAUUGUAAACUACUGUCCCCAGGGACGAAGAUGACGGUACCUGGGGAGGAAGCUCCGGCUAACUACGUGCCAGCAGCCGCGGUAAUACGUAGGGAGCGAGCGUUGUCCGGAAUUACUGGGUGUAAAGGGAGUGUAGGCGGGACUGCAAGUUGGGUGUCAAAUCUACCGGCUCAACCGGUAGCCGCACUCAAAACUGCAGUUCUUGAGUGAAGUAGAGGCAGGCGGAAUUCGUAGUGUAGCGGUGAAAUGCGUAGAUAUUAGGAAGAACACCAGUGGCGAAGGCAGCCUGCGGGACUUUUACUGACGCUGAGGCUCGAAAGUGUGGGGAGCGAACAGGAUUAGAUACCCUUGUAGUC